AGGGAAAGUUGCAAAGAACUUUGAAGAGAGAGUUCAAGAGUACGUGAAACUGCUCGGAAGGAAACGGGUGGAUCUUCGAAGUCCGAGCGGAGCGGGAUUCAGUGGCGGGCCGCGAGGGGUGUCCGAGCCUCGUAUUCCUCUCGGGGAAACGAGUGACGGGCACCGUUCUCCGGCCAGUCGCGCACUUCUCGCUCCCGACGGACGCCGCAGCCGGUCACGCGUCGGCAGUGAGGACUGACCGGGCGAAGGCGUGGGCGUCGACCUCGCGUCGGCGUCCCGAUUCUGUACCGGUCGCCGUCCCGGUGCGACGCGGGUCCGAGGGAAGAGCACGUCUCGCACGUGCGUGCCGUGGUCUCGCCAGAAAUGGAAGGAGCGGGAGAGCGGUCCGGUUCUACCGGGUCGGCCGGCCAGCUGUGGGGUGGUCGGUCGGCGAGUGGGGUUCCGGAAGAUCGCGACCCACCCGCUGAUUAGCGAACCGUCGGCUUGCGGCGAGUAGGUCGGUAACCCACCCGACCCGUCUUGAAACACGGACCAAGGAGUCUGACUUGUGCGCGAGUCAGUGGGACUCGAAUAAGCCCACGGGCGUAAUGAAAGUGAAUGGACGUUCUAGUUCGUCGUGAUCCCGCAUCUUCGGAUCGGGCGCAGCGACGGUCCGCCCGCAGUCCGGUUCGUCCGGACGCGGUCGGUGCUGGAGCGCACAGGUUGGGACCCGAAAGAUGGUGAACUAUGCCCGGGCAGGUCGAAGCUAGAGGAAACUCUGGUGGAGGACCGCAGCGGUUCUGACGUGCAAAUCGAUCGUCGAACCUA
rnacentral:rRNA from 1 species